GAGCUGGGGCUCAGUGGUAGAGCGUUUGCCUAGCACAUGCAGGACCCUGGGUUAGAUCCUCAGCACCACA
rnacentral:tRNA from 1 species